UCCCUACAGUCAUCAGCAGCAUGCGCAUGGUCCCGUGAAGAAGAGUCUCGUUCACCCGUUCGAUCGCUCACUCCUGUCCUUGCCUUGCUGUUAGCUCUCACUGCCUCGUAACAUCAUAACAUCAUUAUGGCGGAAAGUGAAAUGAGCGCCGUGAGUGGCAUGAGCUCCAUGUCUGGGAUGUCAGGGAUGUCGACAGACAACGCAGCACAGGACAAAGGCGGUA